rnacentral:lncRNA from 1 species
CGACAUCUUAUUAUUUAUCAAGACUACUCGAGCCAACGGGCCCUAAUCACAAUCACCAAGAUCUAAACUAGGGUUUCUGGUAUCCGCUAGUCCGAGAGUCCAUCCGACGGCUGCUGAUCAAAAUCGCAAGUUUACAAAGCUAGGGUUUCCCAAGUAUAUAACUUACACAGUUACAGCCUCAAACGGCGCUGUGCAGUUUGUGCUAGUGCUUCUGCCCUCCCACCCUUAGAAAAAACCCCAAAAAAAUUUCCAGUUUCCUUUACGUCGUCUUGCCGUCCGGUUCUAGUCUCCGGUCGCCGGCGAUUCUAUCCUUGCUCUAUCCUAUUCCCCGCACUCUCUUCUCUUCGUUUAUACCUAAGUUUACCCUAAAAAAAUUGGUCUUCUCUAUUUCUUAUCCAGUUCUAGAGUUUGUUGGUGUUUUUUUCCCAGUUUGUGAAAGGGUGGUGUGUUGAAGGCAUUGGUUUUAUAUUAUUGUCGCGAAGAGGAGAGCGGGGAACGAAAAAAAGCUAAAAAGUUUUCAUUAGAAAAGGAAAAAAGAAAGUGAGUGGGAAUUGCACAACGCUUGUAAUAUGGCACAGGUUCAGGCUCAGCAUCAACAGUCGGCGGCUACAGUUGGGGCUACGUCGAUGCCUGCGCAGAACGGAGUGGCUGUCGCGGCUGGACCGAUCCCAUUCGGUGCGACCUCCCUCUAUGUGGGUGAUCUUGAUCUGAACGUGUAAUUACCUAAUUAUUCUAAAUAUUCACUAACAUUAUCUAAUUACACUAAUCAUACCCUAAAAAUUCUCUAAUUACACUAAUCAUAAUAAUUAAAUUCAUUAAUUAAAAAAAAGGACCGGUCGGGGCCCCUCUCAACCCAAACAAGCGGCCGGCCACGGCCUCUUGUAGGUCUCUUUUGUGCUAGUGCUUCUGCCCUCCCACCCUUAGAAAAAACCCCAAAAAAAUUUCCAGUUUCCUUUACGUCGUCUUGCCGUCCGGUUCUAGUCUCCGGUCGCCGGCGAUUCUAUCCUUGCUCUAUCCUAUUCCCCGCACUCUCUUCUCUUCGUUUAUACCUAAGUUUACCCUAAAAAAAUUGGUCUUCUCUAUUUCUUAUCCAGUUCUAGAGUUUGUUGGUGUUUUUUUCCCAGUUUGUGAAAGGGUGGUGUGUUGAAGGCAUUGGUUUUAUAUUAUUGUCGCGAAGAGGAGAGCGGGGAACGAAAAAAAGCUAAAAAGUUUUCAUUAGAAAAGGAAAAAAGAAAGUGAGUGGGAAUUGCACAACGCUUGUAAUAUGGCACAGGUUCAGGCUCAGCAUCAACAGUCGGCGGCUACAGUUGGGGCUACGUCGAUGCCUGCGCAGAACGGAGUGGCUGUCGCGGCUGGACCGAUCCCAUUCGGUGCGACCUCCCUCUAUGUGGGUGAUCUUGAUCUGAACGUGACGGAGGCCCAGCUUUUUGAUCUGUUUGGCCAAGUCGGUCAGUUGGUCUCCGUUCGGAUCUGCAAGGACCAGGCUACACGACGGUCCCUCGGCUAUGGUUAUGUUAACUAUAACAAUGGCCAAGAAGGUCAGAGUUCAUUUCCUUGAUUACUUAUACAAGAGUCUCUGACUAUAUUACGCAGUGCUUGUGACUUGUGUUAUCAGUCUCUGGUUUGUUAAAGUUCUAUGAAAUUGUAUUUAGAGGCGAUAUCCCACAAUUAUGUACAAUGUUCGGCAGUUAUUUGGGAAAGGAACUUGUUCUGUAAUAUGAUUAGUAAUCUUCGUCGAAACUAUGUUGUUGUAACGAAGUUAGGGGAUGUGAGUUAUUUCAGUUUGAUUGUGCAAUAUGUUCACAUCUCGAUAAGACCCACAUGUUCUGAUUAGAAAUGUUCUGUGAGAUCUAGGUACUUUGUUGUUACCAUGACACAUUUACACCAGGACCAUUAGGUGCUGCUUAAUUCUGCAAUACGUUUACAUCUCUAUAAGAUCCUCCUGUUAUUAUUUGAGUACACACUUGGAAAAUAUUUUGCGAGAUAUAGGUACUGUUUUGUUUCCAUUACAAUUUAUGAACUUGAGUUUCCCCUUACUAUUUUCUCAUGUUUGGUUGCUUUCUGUACUUGCUCAUGUAAAUACUUUAGAAGUUGUGCUUUGAGCCAUCCACUGACAUUUUGUCCUCAACAGCUGG